rnacentral:rRNA from 1 species
AGUGAACGCUGGCGGUAGGCCUAACACAUGCAAGUCGAACGGCAGCACAGUAAGAGCUUGCUCUUACGGGUGGCGAGUGGCGGACGGGUGAGGAAUACAUCGGAAUCUACUUUUUCGUGGGGGAUAACGUAGGGAAACUUACGCUAAUACCGCAUACGACCUACGGGUGAAAGCAGGGGAUCUUCGGACCUCGCGCGAUUGAAUGAGCCGAUGUCGGAUUAGCUAGUUGGCGGGGUAAAGGCCCACCAAGGCGGCGAUCCGUAGCUGGUCUGAGAGGAUGAUCAGCCACACUGGAACUGAGACACGGUCCAGACUCCUACGGGAGGCAGCAGUGGGGAAUAUUGGACAAUGGGCGCAAGCCUGAUCCAGCCAUACCGCGUGGGUGAAGAAGGCCUUCGGGUUGUAAAGCCCUUUUGUUGGGAAAGAAAAGCAGCAGGUUAAUACCCCGCUGUUCUGACGGUACCCAAAGAAUAAGCACCGGCUAACUUCGUG